GUCAAAUACUUCUGUCAAAACACCAGGCUCAAAUUUAACUGUUUGCAUCCUUCUUUGCAGGGUUCUAAUUCCUGGCAGGGGAAUCUGCAUGUCCCGCAAGGCCUUGUAUCCUGUGGAACCUGCAGCAAAUCGAAGUUUUAAUGCCUUCUUCAGUGUAUCGUUGCUCCAUUUCAUCCCUUUUGUGGAGCUGUGAAUCUGUGGUUAGUGGUUCCCUGUUGUGCUGACUGACUGAUGUGGGCUCUCCCUGUCUCUCCUCAUCUGCCAUGUUGACUCUUUCUACUGUCUCACUUUCCCUUCUCUCAGUCUCCUCAGUCUUGGAAACUGUUUAGCUGUGAUCAGCAGCUAUGGACCAUGCAUUUGCAGGUGAAAGAGGGCAUCGUGGAGUUGGGGCCUUCCUCUUUUUUUUCAUAGAGUGAUGCGCAAAGAUGUCCCUGAUGGUGGUCAAAUGUAUCCUGCUGACUUUGGC